GAUGAAGAACGUAGCGAAAUGCGAUACUUGGUGUGAAUUGCAGAAUCCCGUGAACCAUCGAGUCUUUGAACGCAAGUUGCGCCCGAAGCCAUUAGGCCGAGGGCACGCCUGCCUGGGUGUCACACACCGUUACCCUCGCGCCAACGUCCAUCGUUGGCCGCGGCGCGGGGCGUGCGCUGACCUCCCGCGAGCGGGGUCUCGUGAUUGGUUGAAAAUCGAGUUCGCGGUCGAGGGUGCCGUGAUGAAAUGGUGGAUGGGCGACGCCCGAGGCCAAUCACGCGCGACUCUGUCCGGCACGGACUCCUGGACCCCUUCGGCGUCUCCGGACGCUCUUUGGCGAGACCUCAGGUCAGGCGGGGCUACCCGCUGAGUUUAAGCAUAUCAAUAAGCGGAGGA
rnacentral:misc_RNA from 1 species